CAGGGAAAUUGGAAUUUCAGGUAAACAUCAAAUAAUUUUUUAGUGGAACCAUGUCUUAUGGAAUAUUUGAGACAUACUUAUACUAAAAAAAUAUGUAUCUGAAAUGAGCAUUCACCUG
rnacentral:miRNA from 10 species